rnacentral:lncRNA from 1 species
CUUAUCCCUUUGACACAGUUAGAAGACGUAUGAUGAUGCAGAGUGGUGAGGCUAAACGGCAAUAUAAAGGAACCUUAGACUGCUUUGUGAAGAUAUACCAACAUGAAGGAAUCAGUUCCUUUUUUCGUGGCGCCUUCUCCAAUGUUCUUCGCGGUACAGGGGGUGCUUUGGUGUUGGUAUUAUAUGAUAAAAUUAAAGAAUUCUUUCAUAUUGAUAUUGGUGGUAGGUAAUCGGGAGAGUAAAUUAAGAAAUACAUGGAUUUAACUUGUUAAACAUACAAAUUACAUAGCUGCCAUUUGCAUACAUUUUGAUAGUGUUAUUGUCUGUAUUUUGUUAAAGUGCUAGUUCUGCAAUAAAGCAUACAUUUUUUCAAGAAUUUAAAUACUAAAAAUCAGAUAAAUGUGGAUUUUCCUCCCACUUAGACUCAAACACAUUUUAGUGUGAUAUUUCAUUUAUUAUAGGUAGUAUAUUUUAAUUUGUUAGUUUAAAAUUCUUUUUAUGAUUAAAAAUUAAUCAUAUAAUCCUAGAUUAAUGCUGAAAUCUAGGAAAUGAAAGUAGCGUCUUUUAAAUUGCUAUUCAUUUAAUAUACCUGUUUUCCCAUCUUUUGAAGUCAUAUGGUAUGACAUAUUUCUUAAAAGCUUAUCAAUAGAUGUCAUCAUAUGUGUAGGCAGAAAUAAGCUUUGUUCUAUAUCUCUUCUAAGACAGUUGUUAUUACUGUGUAUAAUAUUUACAGUAUCAGCCUUUGAUUAUAGAUGUGAUCAUUUAAAAUUUGAUAAUGACUUUAGUGACAUUAUAAAACUGAAACUGGAAAAUAAAAUGGCUUAUCUGCUGAUGUUUAUCUUUAAAAUAAAUAAAAUCUUGCUAGUGUGAAUAUAUCUUAGAACAAAAGGUAUCCUCUUGAAAAUUAGUUUGUAUAUUUUGUUGACAAUAAAGGAAGCUUAACUG